rnacentral:tRNA from 1 species
GUUCCUGUAGUUGAAUUUACAACGACGGCUUUUCAGGCCGUCGGUCUUGGAGAGAGGCCAAGUGGGAACA